UUCGCAAUGCCCGAAAGGGUGACGAUGCGACGCCGCGUGAGCGAAGAAGGCCCUAGGGUUGUAAAGCUCUGUCGAGGGUUAUGAAAUAUAGAUGGGUUAAUACCCCAUUUAUUUGACAAAAGCCCAAAAGGAAGCCACGGCUAACUCUGUGCCAGCAGCCGCGGUAAUACAGAGGUGGCGAGCGUUGUUCGGUAUUAUUGGGCGUAAAGAGCACGUAGGUGGUUUUGUAAGUCAGGUGUGAAAGCCUUCUGUUCAAAGGAAGAACGGCAUCUGAAACUGCAGAUCUUGAGUGUAGGAGGGGAGAGUGGAACUUCUGGUGGAGCGGUGAAAUGCGUAGAUAUCAGAAGGAACGUCGGCGGCGAAAGCGACUCUCUGGCCUAUUACUGACACUGAGUGUGCGAAAGUUAGGGGAGCAAACGGGAUUAGAUACCCCGGUAGUCCUAACUGUAAACGAUGGGCACUAAGUAGAGGGGUUUU
rnacentral:rRNA from 2 species